UCCAUAUUUUCAUGUUUUGUAGAUAUUCACAAGCAUAUUUUAUAAUAAUGCUACUAAGAAAGAACACAACUUGAGUUUACUAAAACAAAUUAAACCACAAAAUAUCAUCAUAUAAAGUUACCAUUUCAAACAAUAACAAAAGAAAUUAUUCAUAGACAUUCAGUAUAUUAAGGAAAAACUUAAAUCUCUCUUGAUUUGCCUUGUUAAUCUGGUGAAAGCAAUUUAGAAUAAUAUGAAAUAAUUAUUGAUUCCAAAUAUUAUCCUGCUUAGCUAGAUGUACAUACAUAUGUAUGUCGGAGACUGUCAAUAGUACGGACACUAAACGUCACGCAAGCGCGCCCUCUGGUGGCGUUUCCGGUGAAACAACAUUUUGGCGCGCUUGGCAGAGUAGUGGUGGUCGGCGUGGCGUCCGCGGAGCUCAGUCUUGGUCGAGGCGUCGUGCUGCGCACAUCUCGAUACUGCCUUUCGUUACGUGUAGUGUACCUAGUGUUAUUGCCUAGUGUUGUAGUACUGUUGUAGAUCCAUAUUGUAAAGUGUGUAAAGUGUCUUUUGAAAUUAAAGUGUAAAGGUUCUUCUAACCUAACAGACAGACAUGUGUUGCUGGGGAGUUUGUUCCGCCACUUCUUCUCCCCAAGCCAAAACACAUAGGAAGUGGCGAAGGGCGGGCGUUUUGGGGGCUGUCUUUUGUUCUGACUAAUUUGAAUAAACGUUUGACUUUUGAGUGUGAGUGUUUGAGUUUCUUUGAGUUAUCUCUUUGCUUCAUUACCCUAACUGAUGUCGGACGAUAGUGCCAUCCUUGAUGUUCGCCUCCGACAUCAGAAGUGGGAUGCAAUCCGAAUGCCCACGUGUGUUAAGGAUUGCCAUGCCAUUGUUCAAAAAGUGAAAAAGUGAAAAAGUGAUGUGCUCGUUCGGAGUGAUGUGUGGCGGCCGAUGGUGGAUUAGUUUCGGAAGAAUUCGCCACGUGAAGACAAACUUUCUGGAUUUCUGAGUGCACGAUAGGCACAGGCUGAAUACCAACCUACUGGGAGAAGAAAAUAAGGGAACAUCAGAAUUUUGAUAUGGAGGUUAUAGUAACCACGGUUAUGGUUUCAACAAUGACGGUGAUUAUUGUGCAAUCUGGCGACAAAAUUACUGCGGAGCAUCCCAGCUGCCAGGAGCCUGACGUGUCAUCGUAAGGUCGGAGUGUUGGUGCUCGUGCAUCUACGUGGCUUCGCGUCCGCAAAAGCCUUGCUGUACUGCGCGCCAUAGCGAUGUGCGCAUCGUCAUGCGCGUUGAGGUGUUGAGUGGAAACCCGAUAACAUCUAAGGUGAACCGAGCCUGGAGAACAGGACGAGGUCCACUAGUCAAGCGGCGCGCGAGGUGCGCUGCAGUUGCUGUUUGGAGCGUCAUCCUCCCCCGGAUUCGUCGUGGAGGCCGUAUGAGUUGCGGCAGGCCAGGACAUCGCAUGUCAUCGCACAAGGUGAAAGCAUUCUAUUGCAUUGAAAAUGUUUAGAUUGAUCAGACAAACUUGACAAUGACUAGCCUGUGUGGCAGCUAGGAGCCUGUGUGGCAGCUAGGAGCCUGUGUGGCAGCUAGGAGCCUGUGUGGCAGCUAGGAGCCUGUGUGGCAGCUAGGAGCCUGUGUGGCAGCUAGGAGCCUGUGUGGCAGCUAGGAGCCUGUGUGGCAGCUAGGAGCCUGUGUGGCAGCUAGGAGCCUGUGUGGCAGCUAGGAGCCUGUGUGGCAGCUAGGAGCCUGUGUGGCAGUUAGGAGCCUGUGUGGCAGUUAGGAGCCUGUGUGGCAGUUAGGAGCCUGUGUGGCAGUUGGUAGCCUGUGUGCUACAUAGUGGUCAGGAGUGGCCGAGGUUGUACUGUGCAUACUGUGCUGUGUUUGUGUUGUUGCAGAUUAACCCACGAGGACGUGGGUCUACGCAGGAUGGCCGUGUCGGAGACUGUCAAUAGUACGGACACUAAACGUCACGCAAGCGCGCCCUCUGGUGGCGUUUCCGGUGAAACAACAUUUUGGCGCGCUUGGCAGAGUAGUGGUGGUCGGCGUGGCGUCCGCGGAGCUCAGUCUUGGUCGAGGCGUCGUGCUGCGCACAUCUCGAUACUGCCUUUCGUUACGUGUAGUGUACCUAGUGUUAUUGCCUAGUGUUGUAGUACUGUUGUAGAUCCAUAUUGUAAAGUGUGUAAAGUGUCUUUUGAAAUUAAAGUGUAAAGGUUCUUCUAACCUAACAGACAGACAUGUGUUGCUGGGGAGUUUGUUCCGCCACUUCUUCUCCCCAAGCCAAAACACAUAGGAAGUGGCGAAGGGCGGGCGUUUUGGGGGCUGUCUUUUGUUCUGACUAAUUUGAAUAAACGUUUGACUUUUGAGUGUGA